rnacentral:rRNA from 1 species
CGCAUCUGUGCAUGCAGCAUAUCAAUAAGCGGAGGAAAAGAAACUAACAAGGAUUCCCCUAGUAACGGCGAGUGAAGCGGGAAGAGCUCAAAUUUGAAAUCUUAAAGGGUUUCCCUUUACGAAUUGUAGUUUAAAGAAGUGUUUUCUGUUGAGGUUUUGGUAAAAGUUCUUUGGAAUAGGACAUCAUAGAGGGUGAGAAUCCCGUAUUUGACCUUUACUUUCAACUUUGUGAUACACUUUCAAAGAGUCGGAUUGUUUGGGAAUGCAGUCCAAAAUGGGUGGUAAAUUUCAUCUAAAGCUAAAUAUUGGCGAGAGACCGAUAGCGAACAAGUACCGUGAGGGAAAGAUGAAAAGAACUUUGAAAAGAGAGUUAAACAGUACGUGAAAUUGUCAAAAGGGAAGCGUUUGACACCAGUGUUGUUUUUCUGAAAAUCAAUUAAAGAACUGUUUAUGCUAAGCUGUUUAGACUUUAUCAGCUAUCUGUUUAGUUUUGAGCUUUUCUUUAAUGCACUUUUCAGUUAACAAGUCAACAUCAAUUUCUUUUGCUGUAAAAAAGCUUGAGGAAGGUGGCUUGAGAUUCGUCUUAAGUGUUUAUAGCCUCUUGCCUAUGCAGUCGGAGAGAUUGAGGUCUGCAGCGUAGAUCCUUCGGGGCUAAAUGCAUUUGUGCUAAGUUAUAGCAUUCUAUAGACAACUUGUUGACUAUGAUUUGUCUUGUAGCUUACUCGCUUAUGUUAUUUUACCUACGCUUAGGAUGUUGAAUCUGUGCGAGACUAC